AUGCACGCUGGCGGCGUGCCUAAUACAUGCCAGUCGAGCGAACAGACGAGGAGCUUGCUCCUCUGACGUUAGCGGCGGACGGGUGAGUAACACGUGGAUAACCUACCUAUAAGACUGGGAUAACUUCGGGAAACCGGAGCUAAUACCGGAUAAUAUAUUGAACCGCAUGGUUCAAUAGUGAAAGACGGUUUUGCUGUCACUUAUAGAUGGAUCCGCGCCGCAUUAGCUAGUUGGUAAGGUAACGGCUUACCAAGGCAACGAUGCGUAGCCGACCUGAGAGGGUGAUCGGCCACACUGGAACUGAGACACGGUCCAGACUCCUACGGGAGGCAGCAGUAGGGAAUCUUCCGCAAUGGGCGAAAGCCUGACGGAGCAACGCCGCGUGAGUGAUGAAGGUCUUCGGAUCGUAAAACUCUGUUAUUAGGGAAGAACAAAUGUGUAAGUAACUAUGCACGUCUUGACGGUACCUAAUCAGAAAGCCACGGCUAACUAUGUG
rnacentral:rRNA from 1 species